UACGUAGGGGGCUAGCGUUGUCCGGAAUCAUUGGGCGUAAAGAGCGUGUAGGCGGCCCGGUAAGUCCGCUGUGAAAGUCAAAGGCUCAACCUUUGAAUGUCAGCGGAUACUGCCGGGCUAGAGUCCGGAAGAGGCGAGUGGAACUCCUGGUGUAGCGGUGAAAUGCGCAGAUAUCAGGAGGAACACCGGUGGCGAAGGCAGCUCUCUGGGACGGUACUGACGCUGAGACGCGAAAGCGUGGGGAGCGAACAGG
rnacentral:rRNA from 1 species